GGGGCGGUCCCGGGAGGCACGCAGGGCCGAGGGCGUGUCGCGAGCAGGCGUGGGCGCUAACUGGAGGCCGAGACGCUCACAGCUGAAGCACAUUUCCCGGCUUCCCUGGAAGUGACGCUUGGCCAAUUGUAGACAAAUGCCCAGGGUUGAGAAGAGGAUUCUGCGAUCUUACAAAAUGAUGAAGGCACAAGAUGGAAGGACCUGGACCUCUCAAUCACUGUGUGGAAGUUUUUCAAACUGAAUACCUACAGGGAAGUGUUGGGCUGGAAGAACAGGAGAAAACACCCAUUG